rnacentral:rRNA from 1 species
CUGGUGGCGAGUGGCGAACGGGUGAGUAAUAUAUCGGAACGUGCCCAGUCGUGGGGGAUAACGUAGUGAAAAUUACGCUAAUACCGCAUACGAUCUAAGGAUGAAAGCGGGGGAUCGCAAGACCUCGCGCGAUUGGAGCGGCCGAUAUCAGAUUAGGUAGUUGGUGAGGUAAAGGCUCACCAAGCCAACGAUCUGUAGCUGGUCUGAGAGGACGACCAGCCACACUGGAACUGAGACACGGUCCAGACUCCUACGGGAGGCAGCAGUGGGGAAUUUUGGACAAUGGACGCAAGUCUGAUCCAGCCAUUCCGCGUGCAGGACGAAGGCCUUCGGGUUGUAAACUGCUUUUGUACAGAACGAAAAGGUCUCUAUUAAUACUAGGGGCUCAUGACGGUACUGUAAGAAUAAGCACCGGCUAACUACGUGCCAGCA